rnacentral:rRNA from 1 species
CGCUGGCGGCAUGCCUUACACAUGCAAGUCGAACGGCAGCGCGGACUUCGGUCUGGCGGCGAGUGGCGAACGGGUGAGUAAUGUAUCGGAACGUGCCCUAGAGUGGGGGAUAACGUAGCGAAAGUUACGCUAAUACCGCAUACGAUCUACGGAUGAAAGUGGGGGACCGCAAGGCCUCACGCUCAUGGAGCGGCCGAUAUCUGAUUAGCUAGUUGGUAGGGUAAAAGCCUACCAAGGCGACGAUCAGUAGCUGGUCUGAGAGGACGACCAGCCACACUGGGACUGAGACACGGCCCAGACUCCUACGGGAGGCAGCAGUGGGGAAUUUUGGACAAUGGGGGAAACCCUGAUCCAGCAAUGCCGCGUGUGUGAAGAAGGCCUUCGGGUUGUAAAGCACUUUUGUCAGGAACGAAACGGUGGGGGCUAAUAUCCUCUGCUAAUGACGGUACCUGAAGAAUAAGCACCGGCUAACUACGUGCCAGCAGCCGCGGUAAUACGUAGGGUGCGAGCGUUAAUCGGAAUUACUGGGCGUAAAGCGUGCGCAGGCGGUUGUGCAAGACAGAUGUGAAAUCCCCGGGCUUAACCUGGGAAUUGCAUUUGUGACUGCACGGCUAGAGUGUGUCAGAGGGGGGUAGAAUUCCACGUGUAGCAGUGAAAUGCGUAGAUAUGUGGAGGAAUACCGAUGGCGAAGG